AUGAACGCUAGCUACAGGCUUAACACAUGCAAGUCGAGGGGCAGCAUUUUAGUUUGCUUGCAAACUGAAGAUGGCGACCGGCGCACGGGUGAGUAACACGUAUCCAACCUGCCGAUAACUCCGGAAUAGCCUUUCGAAAGAAAGAUUAAUACCGGAUAGCAUACGAAUAUCGCAUGAUAUUUUUAUUAAAGAAUUUCGGUUAUCGAUGGGGAUGCGUUCCAUUAGUUUGUUGGCGGGGUAACGGCCCACCAAGACUACGAUGGAUAGGGGUUCUGAGAGGAAGGUCCCCCACAUUGGAACUGAGACACGGUCCAAACUCCUACGGGAGGCAGCAGUGAGGAAUAUUGGUCAAUGGGCGAGAGCCUGAACCAGCCAAGUAGCGUGAAGGAUGAAGGCUCUAUGGGUCGUAAACUUCUUUUAUAUGGGAAUAAAGUUUUCCACGUGUGGAAUUUUGUAUGUACCAUAUGAAUAAGGAUCGGCUAACUCCGUGCCAGCAGCCGCGGUAAUACGGAGGAUCCGAGCGUUAUCCGGAUUUAUUGGGUUUAAAGGGAGCGUAGGUGGAUUGUUAAGUCAGUUGUGAAAGUUUGCGGCUCAACCGUAAAAUUGCAGUUGAAACUGGCAGUCUUGAGUACAGUAGAGGUGGGCGGAAUUCGUGGUGUAGCGGUGAAAUGCUUAGAUAUCACGAAGAACUCCGAUUGCGAAGGCAGCUCACUAGACUGUCACUGACACUGAUGCUCGAAAGUGUGGGUAUCAAACAGGAUUAGAUACCCUGGUAGUCCACACAGUAAACGAUGAAUACUCGCUGUUUGCGAUAUACAGUAAGCGGCCAAGCGAAAGCAUUAAGUAUUCCACCUGGGGAGUACGCCGGCAACGGUGAAACUCAAAGGAAUUGACGGGGGCCCGCACAAGCGGAGGAACAUGUGGUUUAAUUCAAUGAUACGCGAGGAACCUUACCCGGGCUUAAAUUGCAACAGAAUAUAUUGGAAACAGUAUAGCCGUAAGGCUGUUGUGAAGGUGCUGCAUGGUUGUCGUCAGCUCGUGCCGUGAGGUGUCGGCUUAAGUGCCAUAACGAGCGCAACCCUUAUCUUUAGUUACUAACAGGUUAUGCUGAGGACUCUAGAGAGACUGCCGUCGUAAGAUGUGAGGAAGGUGGGGAUGACGUCAAAUCAGCACGGCCCUUACGUCCGGGGCUACACACGUGUUACAAUGGGGGGUACAGAAGGCGGCUACCUGGUGACAGGAUGCUAAUCCCAAAAACCUCUCUCAGUUCGGAUCGAAGUCUGCAACCCGACUUCGUGAAGCUGGAUUCGCUAGUAAUCGCGCAUCAGCCAUGGCGCGGUGAAUACGUUCCCGGGCCUUGUACACACCGCCCGUCAAGCCAUGAAAGCCGGGGGUACCUGAAGUACGUAACCGCAAGGAGCGUCCUAGGGUAAAACUGGUAAUUGGGGCU
rnacentral:rRNA from 1 species